rnacentral:misc_RNA from 1 species
GUUUUGAAGGGAAUGCACUGGUGUACGAUUCAUUCAUUGGGGCAUAUUGUGAGGAGAAGCGGAUAGAUGAAGCGAUUAAGUUGAUGGACGAAAUGGAGUGUUUGAAUAUGAAACCAUUUAGUGAAACAUUUAAUCACCUGAUUAAGGUUUGUUCAGAAGUGGGAAGAUUAGAAGAAAGCUUGAAAAUUUGUGAUAAAAUGAUAGGAAAUGGGCUCCUUCCUAGUUGUUUAUCUUUUAAUGCGCUUGUUGCCAAGCUUUCUGAAAAUGGAAGUGCAAAGUGUGCUAAUAAGCUAUUGAC